GUGAGUAAUACAUAAAUAAUCUACCAUAAUGACUGGGAUAACCAAUGGAAACGUUGGCUAAUACCGGAUAGGUAAAACGAGGGCAUCUUUGUUUUAUUAAAGUAGGGCUACUACACAAUAUGAUGAGUUUAUGGCGCAUUAGCUAGUUGGUGAGGUAACGGCUCACCAAGGCGAUGAUGCGUAGCCGACCUGAGAGGGUGACCGGCCACACUGGGACUGAGACACGGCCCAGACUCCUACGGGAGGCAGCAGUAGGGAAUUUUCGGCAAUGGGCGCAAGCCUGACCGAGCAACGCCGCGUGAGUGAAGAAGGCCUUCGGGUUGUAAAGCUCUGUUGUAAGGGAAGAACACUUUUUAGAGGAAAUGCUAGGAAGCUGACGGUACCUUACCAGAAAGCCACGGCUAACUACGUGCCAGCAGCCGCGGUAAUACGUAGGUGGCGAGCGUUAUCCGGAAUUAUUGGGCGUAAAGGGUGCGUAGGCGGUUUAUUAAGUCUGUGGUGAAAGUGCGGGGCUCAACCCCGUAUGGCCACAGAAACUGAUCGACUAGAGUACAGGAGAGGGCAGUGGAAUUCCAUGUGUAGCGGUAAAAUGCGUAGAUAUAUGGAGGAACACCGGUGGCGAAGGCGGCUGCCUGGCCUGUAACUGACGCUGAGGCACGAAAGCGUGGGGAGCAAAUAGGAUUAGAUACCCU
rnacentral:rRNA from 1 species